UUCCUAGGGGCAGCGCAACACGUCACGCUCCUAAGCCCCGCCCACUUUCUUGCCUCCCUGUCCUGUUGGAGCAACAUCACUUCAACACACUUCAGGCACCGCUUGCUCGGUCUUCGACUUCUUGGACCCCCUCCCCGCCCCCCGGAGUCGUGAUGACGGGAUUUCGGCUCAACGUGUCCCCCCUGAAGGAGCCCCUGGGCUUCGUCAAGCUGGUGGAGUGGCUGACGGCCAUAUUUGCUUUCGGAAGCUGCGGCGGCUUCGCGGGCAGGAACAUCGUGUCCAUCUUCUGCGGCGACGGCGGCAACGAAACGCUCAACGCCAACUUCCACUACCCCUUCAGGCUGAGCCAGGUGCCGCUCGUGGAGGGAAACGCCAGUAUAUGCAACCACUCUGUCAGCACCACACACCUGAUAGGAGACUCCUCCUCUUCGGCGGAGUUCUUUGUGGGCGUGGCCGUCGUCUGCUUCCUGUACUGCAUGGCGGCCCUCUUGGUGUAUUUGGGCUACAUGCACGUGUACAAGAACUCCGACUUCGGACCCAUUCUCGACUUUGUGAUCACGGCGGUCGUGGCGUUCCUGUGGCUGGCGUGUUCGUCCGCCUGGGCCAAGGGGCUUCAGCACGUCAAGGACGCCACGGACACGGAGGGCAUAGCCGGCGCCGUGGCGCUCUGCAAGGGGAGCAACAUCACCUGCCAGGUCACCGAGUACGCCAACCUCCGGACGCUCAACAUCUCAGUGGUGUUCGGCUACCUCAACAUGUUCGUGUGGGCCGGUAACGCUUGGUUCGUGUACAAGGAGACGCGCUGGCACUCGCAGAAGGUCUCCACCCAACCAGGACCGGGGAGGCAGCAGGUUCCGGCAGCCAUCUAAAUCACGCACAAACAAACCUCACUUUGUGGGUGAUUUUUUUUAACCUAUUCUUCAAACAUUCAACAUUUUCCCCAAGAUGAACCAUUCUAUUAGAAUAUCCAAUUUUCACUUUAAGAUAUUUUUUUAUGUGAAGCUUCACAAUAGCUUGUUUAGGGUACAAAUACAUAACUUUAAGGUACGUUUCCUUUGUCAAAAAAGGGUUAAAUUUGAUUAUGAAUUUACUUUUAUGCACACAUUAAUAAUUAUAGUACAACUGGUAUCAAACUCGAGGCCCGGGGGCCGUAUCUGGCCCGCGAACGCCUAGGAAAAUAUGCAUCAAUGAAGUACCUUAUCUUUUCGUACUGAAUUUACCGUAUUUUCCGCACCAUAAGGCGCCCUGGGUUAUAAGCCGCGCCUUCAAUGAACGGCAUAUUUCAAAACUUUGUCCACCUAUAAGACGCCCCGUGUUAUAAGCCGCAUCUAACUGCGCUAAAGGAAUGUCAAAAAACAGUCAGAUAGGUCAGUCAAACUUUAAUAAUAUAUUAAAAACCAGCGUGAUGUGGGCGCGCAUGGAGUCGUAUAUCAACAUGGACGGAGCUGCGUGAAAAAAGCCACCCGGCCUCUUCGCGUAAACUUACCUUAACCACUCGCUCAUCUUUUCUUCAUCCAUCCCUUCGAGUUAGCUUUUAUGAUGACGCCGGCUGGAAAGGUCUCUUUUGGCAAGGUC